UUUCCCCGUAGAGACUAUAUUUUCUAUUUUUCUGCUCAUCCUUAAAUGGAUUUAACUUUGGUUUCUCUCAUUGUGAAAGCAAACUUACAGCUUCCAGGAUGAUGAAGCUGCUGACCAUUUCCGCUCGUGAUCGAUCUUUUCAGCUGCCAGUUUGCCGUGCAUAUUUUAAGCUCGUCGACUGACGUUUACACGUCGCGUAGUACUUGCACAACUCGUCCUUCUUCAAGAGGUCUUAUGUUCGAACCCGAGAGUAUUGUGAUUCAAAUUACUAUCUUAAGUCCACACAUAAAGGAGAGGUUAAAGAUACAUUUAUAAGAUCUUGGUUUUGUUUGGUUGCCUCUUCUGCAAAUUUGUACUUCUAACACUAUCCAAACAACCAUUGAACUUGUUCAU